rnacentral:rRNA from 1 species
AAACUUUCAACAAUGGAUCUCUUGGUUCUGGCAUCGAUGAAGAACGCAGCGAAACGCGAUAGGUAUUGUGAAUUGCAGAUUUUAGUGAAUCAUCGAAUCUUUGAACGCACAUUGCGCCCCUUGGUAUUCCGAGGGGCAUGCCUGUCUGAGCGUCAUUU